CAAGUCGAGCGAUCUCGCAAGAGAUAGCGGCAAACGGGUGAGGAACACGUAAAUAAUCUUCCCCUUAUCCGGACAUAGCUCUAUGAGAAUAGAGGUAAUAUCCGAUGACAUCAUAGUUCUUCAUGGAACUAUAUUGAAAGACAGGGACCGCAAGGCCUGUCGGUAAGGGAUGAGUUUGCGUAGCAUCAGCUAGUUAGUAGGGUAAUGGCCUACCAAGGCUAAGACGCUUAGCUGGUCUGAGAGGAUGGUCAGCCACACUGGGACUGAGACACUGCCUAGACUCCUACGGGAGGCUGCAGUCGAGAAUCUUUAGCAAUGGACGAAAGUCUGACUAUGCGACGCCGCGUGAGGGAUGAAGGAUUUCGGUUCGUAAACCUCUUUUGGCAGGGAAGAAAAAGUUGCAGUUAAUAGCUGCAAAACUGACGGUACCUGCAGAAUAAGCCACGGCUAACUCCGUGCCAGCAGCCGCGGUAAUACGGAGGUGGCAAGCGUUACUCGGAAUUAUUGGGUGUAAAGGGCAAGUAGGCGGCUUAGUAAGUGGGGGGUGAAAUACUUCGGCUCAAUCGGAGAACUGCCUUCCAAACUACUAAGCUUGAGUAUGACAGAGGAAAAGGGAAUUCUAGGUGUAAGGGUGAAAUCUGUAGAUAUCUAGAAGAACACCAGCGGCGAAGGCGCUUUUCUGGGUCAUUACUGACGCUAAAUUGCGAAAGCUAGGGGAGCAAACAGAAUUAGAUACUCUGGUAGUCCUAGCCGUAAACGAUGAGCACUAGGUGUCAGCUCCUUUAGGAGUUGGUGCCGCAGCUAACGCAUUAAGUGCUCCACCUGGGGACUACGGUCGCAAGGCUAAAACUCAAAGGAA
rnacentral:rRNA from 1 species